rnacentral:snoRNA from 1 species
UGACAAUGAUGUGGGCAAUUUCUGAGUAGCUUCUUGUAUCUUUUCCAAGCUUGACAAAGAGUCUCACCAUCUUAUUGUUGAAAUCGAAGAAUCUGUCUCCUCAAUGA